UACAGAGGUCUCGAGCGUUUGUUCGGAUUCAUUGGGCGUAAAGGGCGCGUAGGCGGCGCGGUAAGUCGGGUGUGAAAUCUCGGAGCUUAACUCCGAAACUGCAUUCGAUACUGCCGUGCUUGAGGACUGGAGAGGAGACUGGAAUUUACGGUGUAGCGGUGAAAUGCGUAGAUAUCGUAAGGAAGACCAGUGGCGAAGGCGGGUCUCGUGGACAGUUCCUGACGCUGAGGCACGAAGGCCAGGGGAGCAAACGGG
rnacentral:rRNA from 1 species